AGCUGUGUCUGGCGUCCUGAGCACAGGACGGCGGUGACGCGGCUCUUGGGGAGCACACGGGUGUGAGACAGGCUUCGCUGGGGCGAGAGCUAUGGAGCUGCUGGCUGUGAGUUCAAUGGGAAGGAGUCAAUGACCUACAUCAAUCAGGGGUCUUUAAGCAGAGACACCCAGGAAACAAGGUCAUGCGUUGACUGGCUGAGGACAGUGCUACGAGCAGAGGUUCGAGGGGCCCUAACCCUGUUUUCCCAGGACCAGUGGGUCAGUGUCUGCUAACUCCGUGUCGCGGUGACUCCUCGAGGAACAAUAAUUGACCCCAUUUGUCCCACAGCCUUGCUCGGAGGCCUGGAUAAGCCGAGGGCGGCCUCGUCGCUCUGUGGUUCUUACUGUUCCAGGACGUGAGACCCCAGGUGGAUCUCCCGAGCCCCUGGGCCUCCCGUGGGGUUGGGGGUGGUGGAGGUGGAACCCCCUACUGUGCACACGCAGACACGUCACCAGCCCGGCACUUCCACCAUCAACGCUUCAUUCGUUUGGUUUCAUUAAAAAGCCCACGUCGCUCUCAAUGACUCAUGGAAGACUCUGCACAGACAUUAUCUCACUGGAUCCUCACAGCAGUCCUGGGAUGGCAGCGUCACCCUUCCCGUUUUACAGACGAGCCCGACUUUCACAGACGCUAAGGAGCCGGCCCGAGGUCAGCGGAGUGGUUGGCUGCAGGGUCAUUUCGAUUUCCACUGUCCUCCCACCCUCCGCUCUUCCCUCCUGGACUGAACUAGGCUCCCUUUUCCUGAUGGCAGAGCGAGCUGAGUGCACCCAAACCCACGAGGGAAUCAGGAACGUUCCUGCAUCACUGGGCCUCGUCUGCAGCUGGUCCUGACCUGAUGUCCGGGGAGUUUGUCACAUCUUCACGUGGACGACAAAGCAGGAUAAGGCUCCAUUUCUGUCUGGAUUCUAGUCUGAGGCACGGAGAAGUCUCAUGCUUCAAAAAUGCAUGCGAAAAUGCAGCAAGCGUGCAUUUCACCCCCGGCGGAACCUCCUGAGUUACCGCGAGUGAUUGCACACGAGGAGGAGGUGCUGGGGAGAAGCGGCGUCGUCCUGUCACAGGCUGUGAAC